rnacentral:rRNA from 1 species
GAUGAACGCUGGCGGCGUGCCUAAUACAUGCAAGUCGAGCGAACAGACGAGGAGCUUGCUCCUCUGACGUUAGCGGCGGACGGGUGAGUAACACGUGGAUAACCUACCUAUAAGACUGGGAUAACUUCGGGAAACCGGAGCUAAUACCGGAUAAUAUAUUGAACCGCAUGGUUCAAUAGUGAAAGACGGUUUUGCUGUCACUUAUAGAUGGAUCCGCGCCGCAUUAGCUAGUUGGUAAGGUAACGGCUUACCAAGGCAACGAUGCGUAGCCGACCUGAGAGGGUGAUCGGCCACACUGGAACUGAGACACGGUCCAGACUCCUACGGGAGGCAGCAGUAGGGAAUCUUCCGCAAGGGGCGAAAGCCUGACGGAGCAACGCCGCGUGAGUGAUGAAGGUCUUCGGAUCGUAAAACUCUGUUAUUAGGGAAGAACAAAUGUGUAAGUAACAAUGCACGUCUGGACGGUACCUAAGCAGAAAGCCACGGCUAACUACGG